rnacentral:misc_RNA from 1 species
CGUCUUCCGCGACCGCCGCUG